rnacentral:rRNA from 1 species
UUAUGGCUCAGGACGAACGCUGGCGGCGUGCCUAAUACAUGCAAGUCGAACGGCUUUUCUAUGGAAGCUUGCUUCCACUGAAAAGAUAGUGGCGAACGGGUGAGUAACACGUGGGUAACCUGCCCAUAAGAGGGGGAUAACAUCCGGAAACGGGUGCUAAUACCGCAUAGUUUUCUUGAUCGCAUGAUCGGGAAAGGAAAGACGGCCUUUGUGCUGUCGCUUAUGGAUGGACCCGCGGCGUAUUAGUUAGUUGGUGAGGUAACGGCUCACCAAGACGAUGAUACGUAGCCGACCUGAGAGGGUGAUCGGCCACAUUGGGACUGAGACACGGCCCAAACUCCUACGGGAGGCAGCAGUAGGGAAUCUUCCGCAAUGGACGAAAGUCUGACGGAGCAACGCCACGUGAGUGAAGAAAGGUUUUCGGAUCGUAAAACUCUGUUGUCAGAGAAGAACAAGUUGGAGAGUAACUGCUCCAGCCUUGACGGUAUCUGACCAGAAAGCCACGGCUAACUACGUGCCAGCCGCAGC